rnacentral:lncRNA from 1 species
UUCUAUCUAAGUUUGGGGUUGCUAUUGGAAUAGCAACCUUUAAGUUUGGGGUAGCUUUGCAGUAAGUGAAUGUAGUAAAAAAAAAAGAGAAAAGCGAAAAACAAUAAAAGAACAGCUUUUGAAAAAUGCUACAUUCACUAUAGAUAAAAGGAAAAGAGGAAUACAAAACCCGACAGGAAUAAUAGGAAAGAAACGUAGUGAGAGAAUGAUUUCAUGUACUCUGAACCAAAAACCUUUGUUCCAAUUUCAUACCCUACCUA